AACGAACGCUGGCGGCGUGCUUAACACAUGCAAGGCGAACGUGAAAGGGACUUCGGUCCUGAGUAAAGUGGCGCACGGGUGAGUAACGCGUGGAUAAUCUACCCAAUCAUCUAGGAUAACAUACCGAAAGGGGUGCUAAUACCGGAUAAGACGGCAAGUAUUCGGACUUUGCGGUAAAAGGUGGGGACAUUCGGGCCUUCCGUCAUUGGAUGAGUCCGCGGACCAUUAGCUAGUUGGUGGGGUAAUGGCCUACCAAGGCCCCGAUGGUUAGCUAGUGAGAGAGGGUGAUCAGCCACACUGGAACUCAGACACGGUCCAGACUCGUCCGGAAUGCAGCAGUGGGGAAUUUUGCGCAAUGGGGGAAACCCUGACGCAGCAACGCCGCGUAAGUGAUGAAGGCUUUCGGGUCGUAAAGCUCUGUCAAAGGGGAAAAAAUGCAGGAAGCCAAUAUCAUAUUUGCUUGACGGUACCUCAAAGAAGCCCGGGCUUACCCCCG
rnacentral:rRNA from 1 species